GCACGAAAAUGAAAUUACAAAAAUGUGGUCAUUGCCAUGUCAACUUUGGUGUCGCAGCUUUCCAUGCUCUCAACUCCAUGCUGUUUUGUGUUUGGCGGAUUUGAGGCCUGAGCCAGCCAUCGUAACAGCAAAGUUUUGCUUGCGCUGGACCUCCAGUCAUAUGAUUUGACUGAUGAUCUCCUGUCAUUAGCAACAAUCACAGUAUCAUCGCUUAGCAUCCUGUUUAAUUGGAGAAACUUCCAGUGUCGACCGAGUAAGGAUCUCUUCAAUUUCCCUUUCUUUAAAUGUCCUCGUGUACGUCCAUGUGAAUGUGGGCGUAUUCAC